AUAUAUAUGAAUUAACGGUAUGGUUGCAAUUCUCAUAUAAGCAAUAGACAUUUUCUAUCCGUAAGUAUUGAACAAGACUUUUAUCAAAUCUUUUCUAAAUAAUGCAUGCAUUUUUAUGGUAAAUACUGUUAGUUUUACUUUAUUAUUAGUUGAACAGGUUUUUGAAGGCUUACCAUAGCGAUAUAUGUUUAUUCGUAACUGUGCAAAGGUUAGAGAAUGUCAAAAAAUAUGUUCGCCUUUUUGUUUUGAUCAUUCAUGUUUUUAACGGUAUUGUAAACUUUUUUUUUUAACUUUUUUACUUGUUUUUACCCAGAUACAUAUAAAAGAACCUUAAUCUUAAUUAUAAUUAUUUAGAAAAAGAUGAUUUUCGCAUUACUUGUGAUAUUUGGCUGUUUAUUGGUGGUUAAAUCUGAAACAUGCUUUGGAAACCAAGAAAGGACGAUCUUAUCUGAUAUAAAAUCCUCCAUUAAGACAUUGGAAGAAAAGUUGGAAGG
rnacentral:lncRNA from 1 species